ACAAACGCUGGCGGCGUGCUUAACCCAUGCCAGUCGAACGGAAAGGCCCUGCUUUUGUGGGGUGCUCGAGUGGCGAACGGGUGAGUAACACGUGAGUAACCUGCCCUUGACUUUGGGAUAACUUCAGGAAACUGGGGCUAAUACCGGAUAGGAGCUCCUGCUGCAUGGUGGGGGUUGGAAAGUUUCGGCGGUUGGGGAUGGACUCGCGGCUUAUCAGCUUGUUGGUGGGGUAGUGGCUUACCAAGGCUUUGACGGGUAGCCGGCCUGAGAGGGUGACCGGCCACAUUGGGACUGAGAUACGGCCCAGACUCCUACGGGAGGCAGCAGUGGGGAAUAUUGCACAAUGGGCGGAAGCCUGAUGCAGCAACGCCGCGUGCGGGAUGACGGCCUUCGGGUUGUAAACCGCUUUCGCCUGUGACGAAGCGUGAGUGACGGUAAUGGGUAAAGAAGCACCGGCUAACUACGUG
rnacentral:rRNA from 1 species